AUGUUUACUCUACUGGCAGUGUACGUAUAGUUGUAUGGCUGUUAUUAAAUUGAAAUGUUUUAUAUUGAGUGGCAGUAACUAUAAAAGUUUUUAUCGUCCAUAUACAACAUUUACAAUUCCAUAUAGUAGCACUUAUAUGUUAGUUUUUGCCCACCAGUACCACGACAAUGGAAGAUUUUCUGGGUUAUACCAGUAUAGCUGUUUUGUGUUCUUCAAUUCUAGUGUUUAGACACUUUUUUCUCCUACCUAUAUACUGCUCUGUAGUUUGUAGAGAAUUGUUAUACACUGGGAUUGCAUAUACUCCUGACUUCCUCAUAUUGUUCAUUGGGUCUUUAUCAUUCCUUAAACUUGCAAAAAUGGUACUUUUUCUCUUAUAAACAUGCCUAUGUGCAUUUCUUUGAGAAGUUUUUUUACAACUGUCUAUUACUGGAACAGAUUGUGGUUUUAUUGUAUAUGAGAGAACAUGACUGUUGGUCUUGGUAAGGCCAACUGCUAUUCUGCGAUGUUGCUGUUACAUGAGCAUUGGCUAUUGAUUUAAUAACAUUAUUAUAUAUGGCUUUUAUACUUAUAACCACAUUUUUUGACCUUGUGUAAUUAUAUAGCAUUAUUCUUUGGCUCUAUUUUCUUUGCUUCAUACUGUGUGUGUGUGUGUGUGUGUGUAGCCUAUGGAAGAGAGAGAGAGACCUAAACAAUGCCAUUUUAUAUUUCAUAAGAUCUUGGGAUCAUGCCAGUAUAAUAACAGGAAUGUAUGUUGGUGUUUUUGUAUAUAUUUGUGUAAUAUUCCCCAUUUUCAAUGGUUAUGUUUAAAAAAAUGAAAGUUCUUUCUUCAAUUUCUUCUACUUUUAGAUGUAGAACUAAAUUCUCAUCUGUUAAAGAUUGUAUGAUUUCAGUAGUCUUAUGUUUAGUUUUCUAUAUAAUACAUUGUACUGUUGACAUAUCAUACAUAUAAUUUAAUAUUACUCAUAAAUUUUCAUAGUACCAUAUAUUACGGAUUAUAAGACCCACCUUAAUUUUUAAGCAAUUUUUUAAAAAAAUAACAUUUUUACCAUUUUUAUUAUUAGACUGCAAAGCCAGACUAAUAAAAAAUUC
rnacentral:lncRNA from 1 species